rnacentral:rRNA from 1 species
AUUGAACGCUGGCGGCAGGCCUAACACAUGCAAGUCGAACGGUAACAGGAAGAAGCUUGCUUCUUUGCUGACGAGUGGCGGACGGGUGAGUAAUGUCUGGGAAACUGCCUGAUGGAGGGGGAUAACUACUGGAAACGGUAGCUAAUACCGCAUAACGUCGCAAGACCAAAGAGGGGGACCUUCGGGCCUCUUGCCAUCGGAUGUGCCCAGAUGGGAUUAGCUAGUAGGUGGGGUAACGGCUCACCUAGGCGACGAUCCCUAGCUGGUCUGAGAGGAUGACCAGCCACACUGGAACUGAGACACGGUCCAGACUCCUACGGGAGGCAGCAGUGGGGAAUAUUGCAGAAUGGGCGCAAGCCUGAUGCAGCCAUGCCGCGUGUAUGAAGAAGGCCUUCGGGUUGUAAAGUACUUUCAGCGGGGAGGAAGGGAGUAAAGUUAAUACCUUUGCUCAUUGACGUUACCCGCAGAAGAAGCACCGGCUAACUCCGUG